rnacentral:rRNA from 1 species
GGGGAAUAUUGGACAAUGGGCGCAAGCCUGAUCCAGCCAUGCCGCGUGGAUGAAGAAGGCCUUCGGGUUGUAAAGCCCUUUUGUUGGGAAAGAAAAGCAGCCGGCCAAUACCCGGUUGUUCUGACGGUACCCAAAGAAUAAGCACCGGCUAACUUCGUGCCAGCAGCCGCGGUAAGACGAAGGGUGCAAGCGUUACUCGGAAUUACUGGGCGUAAAGCGUGCGUAGGUGGUGGUUUAAGUCCGUUGUGAAAGCCCUGGGCUCAACCUGGGAACUGCAAUGGAUACUGGAUAACUAGAGUGUGGCAGAGGGUAGUGGAAUCCCCGGUGUAACAGUGGAAGGCGUAGAGAUCGAGACGAACAUCAGUGGCGAAGGCGACUGCCUGAGCCAACACUGACACUGAGGCACGAAAGCGUGAGAAGCAAAAA